rnacentral:rRNA from 1 species
AUUGAACGCUGGCGGCAGGCCUAACACGUGCAAGUCGAGCGGAUGAAGGGAGCUUGCUCCUGGAUUCAGCGGCGGACGGGUGAGUAAUGCCUAGGAAUCUGCCUGGUAGUGGGGGAUAACGUCCGGAAACGGGCGCUAAUACCGCAUACGUCCUGAGGGAGAAAGUGGGGGAUCUUCGGACCUCACGCCAUCAGAUGAGCCUAGGUCGGAUUAGCUAGUUGGUGGGGUAAAGGCCUACCAAGGCGACGAUCCGUAACUGGUCUGAGAGGAUGAUCAGUCACACUGGAACUGAGACACGGUCCAGACUCCUACGGGAGGCAGCAGUGGGGAAUAUUGGACAAUGGGCGAAAGCCUGAUCCAGCCAUGCCGCGUGUGUGAAGAAGGUCUUCGGAUUGUAAAGCACUUUAAGUUGGGAGGAAGGGCAGUAAGUUAAUACCUUGCUGUUUUGACGUUACCAACAGAAUAAGCACCGGCUAACUUCGUG